AACGAACGCUGGCGGCAUGCCUAACACAUGCAAGUCGAACGAGACCUUCGGGUCUAGUGGCGCACGGGUGCGUAACGCGUGGGAACCUGCCCUUAGGUUCGGAAUAACUCCCCGAAAGGGGUGCUAAUACCGGAUAAUGUCUUCGGACCAAAGAUUUAUCGCCUUUGGAUGGGCCCGCGUUGGAUUAGCUAGUUGGUAGGGUAAAAGCCUACCAAGGCGACGAUCCAUAGCUGGUCUGAGAGGAUGAUCAGCCACACUGGGACUGAGACACGGCCCAGACUCCUACGGGAGGCAGCAGUGGGGAAUAUUGGACAAUGGGCGAAAGCCUGAUCCAGCAAUGCCGCGUGAGUGAUGAAGGCCUUAGGGUUGUAAAGCUCUUUUACCCGGGAUGAUAAUGACGUACCGGGAGAAUAAGCUCCGGCUAACUCCGUG
rnacentral:rRNA from 1 species